UACAGAGGGGGCAAGCGUUAUUCGGAAUUAUUGGGCGUAAAGGGCGCGUAGGCGGCUUGGCAAGUGGAUGGUGAAAUCCCUCGGCUUAACCGAGGAACUGCCGUCCAAACUGCUUUGCUUGAGGCCGGGAGAGGUGAGUGGAAUUCCCAGUGUAGCGGUGAAAUGCGUAGAUAUUGGGAGGAACACCAGUGGCGAAGGCGGCUCACUGGACCGGUACUGACGCUGAUGCGCGAAAGCGUGGGGAGCAAACGGG
rnacentral:rRNA from 1 species